rnacentral:rRNA from 1 species
AUACGGAGGGGACUAGCGUUGUUCGGAAUUACUGGGCGUAAAGCGUACGUAGGCGGAUCGGAAAGUAUAGGGUGAAAUCCCGGGGCUUAACCCUGGAACUGCCUUAUAAACUCCCGGUCUUGAGUUCGAGAGAGGUGAGUGGAAUUCCGAGUGUAGAGGUGAAAUUCGUAGAUAUUCGGAGGAACACCAGUGGCGAAGGCGGCUCACUGGCUCGAUACUGACGCUGAGGUACGAAAGUGUGGGGAGCAAACAGGAUUAGAUACCCUAGUAGUCC